rnacentral:rRNA from 1 species
UGGGGAAUAUUGCGCAAUGGGCGAAAGCCUGACGCAGCGACGCCGCGUGAGGGAUGAAGGUUUUCGGAUCGUAAACCUCUGUCAGAAGGGAAGAAACCGCACUGUGCUAAUCAGCAGUGCCUUGACGGUACCUUCAAAGGAAGCACCGGCUAACUCCGUGCCAGCAGCCGCGGUAAUACGGAGGGUGCAAGCGUUAAUCGGAAUUACUGGGCGUAAAGCGCACGUAGGCUGCUUUGUAAGUCAGGGGUGAAAUCCCACGGCUCAACCGUGGGACUGCCUUUGAUACUGCUUAGCUUGAAUCCGGGAGAGGGUGGCGGAAUUCCAGGUGUAGGAGUGAAAUCCGUAGAUAUCUGGAGGAACAUCAGUGGCGAAGGCGGCCACCUGGACCGGUAUUGACGCUGAGGUGCGAAAGCGUGGGGAGCAAACAGG